rnacentral:rRNA from 1 species
GACUAGUGGCACUGAUCUCUGGGAGUAAGGGGGAUUGUGGAGAGACCCCUGCCUCUGAGGAGGAAGGAAUGGCAACUGUAGGUCAGUGGCCCCCCGAAACCUGGGGCCCACGGGCUAUGUGGUUGGAGGAUGUGUGCUCCGAUUCAAAAAGGAGGGAAAUCUCCCUAAACCUUACCUCAUUUAUAAUUGAGGGUUGAACCCCCCCCCCUUGAAUAUGGAAUCCCUAUAAUUCCCUUGUCACAAUCCCGGGUUAAAUACUUCCCGCCCCCCUUGCAAAA